rnacentral:rRNA from 1 species
GAUGAACGCUGGCGGCGUGCCUAAUACAUGCAAGUCGAGCGAACAGACGAGGAGCUUGCUCCUCUGACGUUAGCGGCGGACGGGUGAGUAACACGUGGAUAACCUACCUAUAAGACUGGGAUAACUUCGGGAAACCGGAGCUAAUACCGGAUAAUAUAUUGAACCGCAUGGUUCAAUAGUGAAAGACGGUUUUGCUGUCACUUAUAGAUGGAUCCGCGCCGCAUUAGCUAGUUGGUAAGGUAACGGCUUACCAAGGCAACGAUGCGUAGCCGACCUGAGAGGGAGAGCAGCAAAAGUGGAAAGGAGACACGGUGCGGACACCUGCGGGAGGGAGCAGUGGGGAAUAUUGGACAAUGGGCGCAAGACUGAAACAGCAAUACUGCGGGGGAGAAGAAGGUCUUCGGGUUGUAAAGCCCUUUUGUGGGGAAAGAAAAGAAGCAGGUUAAUACCCCGCUGUGCUGACGGUACCCAAAGAAUAAGCAACGGCUAACUUCGUG